GACGAACGCUGGCGGCGUGCUUAACACAUGCAGGUCGAACGGAAAGGCCCUUCGGGGUACUCGAGUGGCGAACGGGUGAGUAACACGUGGGUGAUCUGCCCUGCACUUUGGGAUAAGCCUGGGAAACUGGGUCUAAUACCGAAUAGGACCACGCGCUUCAUGGUGUGUGGUGGAAAGCUUUUGCGGUGUGGGAUGGGCCCGCGGCCUAUCAGCUUGUUGGUGGGGUAAUGGCCUACCAAGGCGACGACGGGUAGCCGGCCUGAGAGGGUGACCGGCCACACUGGGACUGAGAUACGGCCCAGACUCCUACGGGAGGCAGCAGUGGGGAAUAUUGCACAAUGGGCGCAAGCCUGAUGCAGCGACGCCGCGUGAGGGAUGACGGCCUUCGGGUUGUAAACCUCUCUCACCAGGGACGAAGCGUAAGUGACGGUACCUGGAGAAGAAGCACCGGCCAACUACGUG
rnacentral:rRNA from 1 species